rnacentral:rRNA from 1 species
UACAGAGGUGGCAAGCGUUGUUCGGAAUUACUGGGCGUAAAGGGCGAGUAGGCGGCCUUCUAAGUCAGACGUGAAAUCCCCCGGCUUAACCUGGGAACUGCGUCUGAUACUGGGAGGCUUGAGUAUGGGAGAGGGAUGCAGAAUUCCAGGUGUAGCGGUGAAAUGCGUAGAUAUCUGGAGGAAUACCGGUGGCGAAGGCGGCAUCCUGGACCGGCAUUGACGCUGAUGAGCGAAAGCUAGGGGAGCAAACGGG